rnacentral:rRNA from 1 species
AGUGCAGCAGGUAGCGCCGCAAACUUAAACAUAUCACUAGCGGCAGCAAGAGAAACCAACCGGGAGGCCCUGAGUAACGGCGAGCGAAAAGGGUCGAGUCCGACGUCGAAUCUGCCUAGAUGGACGACUUCGAAGCAGAGUUGUGACGUCGAGACGAGCGGGGGUGGCGGAGUAGCGGUCGUAAGGCCUUGGAAAAGGUCGCCGUAGAGAGCGAUCGUCUCGUAUCGAUGCGCUCCGCUUUCGCAUCGCUCGUCUCUCAACGAGUAGGUUUGCCUUGUAGCGCAAGCCGAAUGUGUUUCGGGGGAGGCCCCGAAAAGACUAAUCACAUCACGAUUCCGAUAGCGCACUAGAUCGUACCGCGAGGGAACGCUGAAAAGUACUCUGAAGAGAAGGUGAAAGAGCACGCGAAAUCGUUGCGGCGGAAGCGUACCGGCAAUCGUCAAGUCUCUUGUGGCGGCCCCGAUGUCGAGAGCCUUAGCGCUCGUGAGGCAGAGGUCCGGUGCUCUCCGAUAUUUGAGCGAGAGUACGGAGCGGUUGACAAAGACAGCUCUGCCGCCAAAGAUUCGCCGGUACGGCCCGUCUUGAAACACGGACCAUGGAGAUGACAGGAUCGAGCGAGGCGCGGGUCCUCGAAAGGCCCACGCCGAAGGGAAGCCAAAUUUACGCGAGUAGGGUCAUGGCCUUCACUCAGCGGCUUCGCUGCAACUCGUAGUUGUAGUGUGACGAGUUCGAUCCGUCACACCCGAUAGGGGGUGAACUAUGCUCGAUCAGAUCGAAGCCUGGCUAACGCCCGGUGGAGGAUCGUAGCGGUUCUGAUAUGCAAUUCGAUCGCGUGAGUUGAGCAUAGGGGCGAAAGACCAAUCGAACCCCCUGGUAGCUGGUUCCUUCCGAAUGGUCUCUCAGGACUGCUGACGUACGCAAAAUCGGACUCGGUCGUCGUAGAGCAACGAAUCGGGUUACCGGGACGCAACCGUCGCCGCACCCUUCUCGAACUGCAAAGACGAUCGGCUGCGGGCCUCGUUCACUUCGAGGCUCGUCACGGACCGGAAGACGUCAAGUCGGCGCUGGCCGGUAAGCGGCUAGCGUUAUGCGGGAUCAACCGCCAGCCGGUGUGAGGUGCCAGACGACCGAAAAUCGGAUACCUGAAAGAGCGUCGUUCGAUACAGACAAUCGGAAUGUGGCCCCGGAAGCAGGCAUCAUCCACGGAGUGUGUAAAAACUCACCGAUCGAAUCGUGCGGCCUCGAAAAUUGAUGGCGCUUUUAUCGGUCGACCGACCGCCGGCCGCCGAGGACGACGUCUAGCAGCACUCCGCAGCAAAAGGUGCACUGUCCUCGGCGGGUAGGAAGGCGACGCGAUGAGCCCUGAAGCUCGUCCUCGAGGACGGGUGGAGCCGUCGCGUGUGCUUAUCAUGGUUGCAGUAGCUUGAACUUCGGUCGAACCCGGAGGGCCGUAGUGGAGAAGGUUUCCUGUCGAUCGGCGAACGAGACAGGGUAAGUCGCUCCCGAGCAGACGACGAAGGUCGUUAGACAGUGCCCGACAACGGGCGAGCUGCGAAAGGGAAGCCGGCGAAAAUUCCGGCACCGCGUCAAGCCGUGUUCGACGUCUCGUGGAACGUUCGCUGCCGCAAGGUUGGCGUGCGUGCCGGGCGUCGAACGUACCGACGGCAACGUGACUGGUUCGAAGACGCUCAGCACGGCAUCGGCAUCGGUUCUCUUCCGAUGUUAAGGUGACGACGCGACGGAGUCGGUUCGCCCGGAGAUGUCGCGCGCGUCGGCGAAAAGGGUGGCAAGAACUGCGACCUUCGGUAGCCGUGCUGGGCCCGUGAAAAUUCGAACGAGCGGAUUACGAGCUUGACGCGAGCGUACCCAGAACCGCAUCAGGUCUCCGAGGUGAGAAGCCUCUGGCCGAACGGCAAAAGGCGGGCUAGGGAAUUCGGCAAAAUAGAUCCGUACCUUCGGUACAAGGAUUGGCUCCGCGGGUCGCGUCUACCGGCUUGCAUCGGCGACCGACGACGUGGCGACCGUUGUCCUCCUCGGGGGAUGGCUGUUGCAGCGGAGGCGGGCGAAGGUGCGAGUUGAGCGGUGCGGGUUUCGGCCUGCAUCGCUCGCCACGGUAGGCUAAAAACGAUCGACGCGGAGCUGGCACCGACACGGCUGACCGGACAGUUUAAUUAAAACGCAGCGCGUGGCUAUCCGCAAGCGGCGUGAAUCACGCGUGAGUCCUGCCCGGUGCUAUGAAUGUCAAGGUGGGGAGAUUCACCUAAGCACUAGUUAACGGCAGGAGUAACUAUGACUCUUUUAAGGUAGCAAAAUACCUUGUCGCAUAAUUGGCGACGUGCAUGAAUGGAUCAACCAGGUCAGCACUGUCCCAGUCCGGUCGCCGGCGAACCAACAGACGGGGGAACGGGCCCGUCAGACACAGCGGGGAAAGAAGACCCUGUUGAGCUUCACUUCAUCUGUCGCCUGCAGGCGGGUGCAGCGUCUGUAGUAAUAGAUGGGAGGCGUUCGUUUCGGCGUUCGCCGGUUGUGAAAGACCAUUGACGCAGUUACUCGCUCGCUAACCUGGUGAGAGGGGAAGCGCGCGUUCGGUCUUCGGGCCGACGCGCCAGAUCCAUGCAACAAAGCGACGACGCGGCGCACCUCGUGUGCUGCCGACCACGGACGUCGCGACCCGUGCCAGGGACAAGCCGCGGUGGGAAGUUUGGCUGGGGCGGUACGACCCGAAAAGUGUGGCCGGGUCGACCAUGAGUCGAUCUCAGUGUGGACGGAAACCUCACGUAGCGUUUAAGGACAAAUGAUCGUCUGAUCCGGCGCCACAGCACAGCGCCGGGGCUCGACAGAGCGGCCUAGCGAUCUCGAAACGGCGCCCGGUCUCGGUCGUUCGAGUGACGGAAAAGUUACCACAGGGAUAACUGGCUUGUGGCAGCCUAGUGGCCUAAAUGACGCUGCUUUUUGAUCCUUCGAUGUCGGCUCUUCCUAUCCAGGCAGUGCAAAAGUUGCCAAAGGUAAGACUGUUCGUCUGCUAACAGGGAACGUGAGCUGGGUUUAGACCGUCGUGAGACAGGUUAGUUUUAUCCUACUGUGAGUGGUCGUCCCGAUGGUAGGAUCGUUUAGUACGACAGGAACGACGAUUCAUUGCCUAUCGCAAUGGAGUCGGUCGAGAGACCGAUGCUCCGAAGCGACGCAAUUCGGAUAAGGACUGAUGGCCUCUAAAGUUCGAAGCCGUGCCAAGUGAGCGGACGACAGUGCGGGUAGACUGCUGCGACGUGAGUUUUCGUUUUGCCAGCCUCGCCGCCGUGCGAAAAAGGCCUCCUCUUCGGGGAGCAGCCUAGGGCAACAGGUGCCGCGUGUACCGACGAUGCUCCGUCGAAAGAUCACCAGUAAACGACUGGGGAGUCUCGGUACUGUAAGGCGUCGAGCUCUAGGGCGAGCGUCUGAGGUUUAGCCGGAGACUAUA